GGCGGUGCGGGGCCGGGUGAGGCGCGCGGCGGCGCCGGGUGCGGAGGAGCUCCGCGGCCGGCGGAGCCUCCCGCGCUGCGACGGCGGCGGCAAACUUUGGCCGCGCCAGAAGACGAGUUUCCUCGCACGCUUUGUCUCUCCGCGGCGGCGGCAGGAACAGGGGCCCCGCAGCUGGCUGCAGAUUUCGGCUUUAAUUCGCCGCCUGCUCCGUCCGCGGAGCAUGAUGUAGGCAGAUCACGAUGCAGCAGCGAACGGCAACCUUGGCUUCGGCUCCUGGCACGGUCCGGCUCGUCUGUCUUCACCUGCGACCAAAAAACGCCCUCCAACGCUCCCCGGCUUUUAUCACACCAAGUUCUUCAUUCUGUUUGUGGAAGUGGCGGAGAGUGGAGCUACAUGGCUGCAGCAUGAUCCUUCUGGUGUAGUCCUGGGGACUGGGAUGCGACAAGAGGCUGUAGAGAUGCCCUGGAGAGAAAUAUACAGAAGCUUCAGAUGUCUUUUGAUUUCCACUGGAGGGUAAAGCUCCACAGCGCAUCACUCUGUCAGCCAAAGACUGCCAGAACACAGACGGCUAUGACCACGCUCCCUUGGUGUGCUGUGCAUUGCAGGUCUCAGAUGGCUUUUUAUCUGAUUUGUGGUUCCAGAAUGACACCAAACAGGUUGAAGGAGGGACUAGAUAUGCUACCUCCAUUUUUCUGAAGAGUAAGCUGAAUAAAAAUUGCAUAUGCUUGUACAAAGAAAGAUUCAGAGAUUAGGAAGAGGCAAUUUAAAACAGAGUGACUGUAAUAAUAAAAAUGCAGUAUCAAGAAAGAUUUCACUCUUGUCAUUCAAGACCUCCUCUGAGUGAGAGAUUAGGAUUUAUUUCUGUCUUUCCUUCUCCACUUUGAUCUUCCAUUCUAAUAGAUUAAAAUGUUAUUUUCUAUAUCCUACAUUGUGAACUUUUGGGUUUUUUUAACUAUUUAAAAUAAAACGAUUAUAUGAUGUGGUGAUCAUUGACAGCAUGAUUCCUUAAGCCAUAAAAUAAAAAGUUAAUAGAAGAAUUAGCAUAGUUGAGCUAUAACAAUAUAAAUAAUAAUAGCAUCUUUGUGCUUUCUGAGCACCUUUCAUCUCAAGGCUAUAAAGUGUCUUCACAUACAAGUAUGCAGUCUGCAAUAUGCCUGCUGUGCUGAAAAGUAAUAGUAUUUGUGUUGUGUUUAACUUGUUUUAAAAAUAAAGAAGAAGGAUGAUUGACUUGCUGAAAUUCUUAAUCUAUCAAAGAACUUCAUGAAGGGCACGAAUAGCUGCAGUAGUCAUAUAUCUGGUUUUCUGGAUCAGAGCCCAGGUGAACAGGGAAGCCAGUGUCAGGUACUGAACCAAGAGAAAUCAGUCCUCCUGGUUCUCCAUCUGGCUUCAACAGAAGUGUUUCCAUGGUGGAAAAUUCUCUGUAAUUGCAUCUUGCCAGUAUUAACAAAUUUAAUUUUUUUUAAUAGAACAACAUUUCUUACAUCCUUCAGCUCCUAAAGGCACUAAUUCAAUGUAAUUGUUUAACAUUUACAUCCUUGAUGGCUGCUAUAUCUUUGUCAUUUGGGGAUCCGGCUGAACACUACCAUCAUCAAAACUAUAAAACAUAAAACAAAUUCUGAUUAAACAUAUUUUAACUUUG